GAGGAAUUGAUGGUGGAGUGUGGAAUAAUUGCCCACAGAAAAACCCACUCUUCAUUAUGAGCUUCUUCUCCACCCCCCUCCGACACCACUUCUUGGACCCAGUCCCUCUGAAGUUUGUCACAACAGCGAAGAUUGGUUGAUCACGAAGUAGAGCUCCAGUUUCCAUCGCUGAGGUGCAAAUCCCAUUACCAGGAACCUCCCCACCCUAUUACAGCGGAGUGGGAAAAAAUAGGCCGGAAUCGUGAGACGAAGCAAAAUGUGGUAGGGUGGCAUGACAUGAGCAGGAGAAGCCCCGUCGUGAUGCUAUUAACACAUCUCGUUUUGUUGCUAUUUAGUCGCCGUUUCGGAACCGCUUGCAUUACUCUCAUCGCUCCUCUAUAUCUCCACGAGCCGUGCAAAGACUCUGCUCUCCCUCCGCUACCUCACGCGGACAGCCAGCAGAUGGUCGCCUCGGGUUGAGUGUGUACCAUCCGCGAUCAUUUCUUAGGUGGUUACUGCUUUUUGAGGGUCGCAAUUCGAAGUCACAACCAUCACAGCAGGGCAGAGCGGAGGACAAUUUGGCGUUGAGUACCUACGCCAGGCCGGGGAGAGACUCAAUCCUCUUCGGCUUGGUUGGUGCCCAUUUCAGUGCCCAGCAACCGAUUGAACAUGCCUGCGUUGUUGUAGAUUCAAUCCCGCACGUAGACGCGUUAGUUCUCUUAGAUAGGUCAGACGGGUGAUUUCUUCAUUUAUGUCUUCACUCCGAUCUUAGACAGGCCCUACUGAGAUCUUUGGUAAAUGGGAUCUAGUAGGCCCGAAAGAUCACUUCCUUGAUUGAUGUAGUUGUGAUGCUGAAGGCUAACAGGAUUCAAGUCUGUUUGGUAACUACCACCAUGUUAGAGUAUUCUGAUUCCUUUGGCGAUGUACAGAGAAGUGAAGGACUGUUCUACACGUCGCGCCGGGAAGUUACUGAUAGUCCUCCCCACCGUCACCAAUUAUGUCUAUCUGUCAUUUGUAACUUGGAGGAAUCGAUGAGACAUGACUCAGGAGAUGCCGGUAGCUGUGGCUGUGGAAGCAAUCUGUGUUUCCGUUGUGGGCAAUGAUGGGUCGGCCGGAGCCGUCUUGCUGCGGUCCGGCAACACCGAGGGAGCUGGCCUCAUUCCUCUCGGUUGAGUUCCAUGACUGUACAGAUAGCAAAAUGCCUGACGUGCGGACAUCGAUGUGAAGGUUUUGUGAUAGCGUAAUAUUUAACUUAAUGUUAUAUGGGAAUAGCUGUGCUGCUGCAAUGAUUGAAGAUUUGCAAUAGGCUAGGCUAAGGUAGGUUUCGUGAUGAGUGCCAGGCGUGUUAUGAUCAACAUGAGUUGCAGUUCGAUGAGGGAUUUGAUCCGGAAAUCGGAUGAGCCUUCGUCUUUGAAAUUGACUGGAGCACUGUAGCAGUUAUUCUGAAAUGUGUUACUUCGGGUCAAGCUUCAGUUUAAAAUUUCAUGAUGUCAUUUGUACGUCAGGAUGCGCAAAAUUAUCCGGUUUAUGUGGCGAUCGGUGGAAGAUGCUGGAUGUGCCUUUGCCGUGA